UCUAGUGCUGUCAGUGGAGUACUGAAAUCCUCACUCUUAUUGUGUUACUGCCUAUUCCAUUUCUUAGGUCUAGCAAUAAUUGUUUUACAAAUUUGGGAGUUCCAGUGUUAGAUGUAUAUAUAUUUAGGAUUGUGGUAUUUUCCUGUUGGAACAGGGGUUUUACCAUUAUAUAACAUCCCUCCUUGUCUUUUUUAACUGCUGUUGCUUCAGAGUUUGUUUUGUCUGAUAUAAGAAUAGCUACUUCUGCUUGCUUUGGUGUCCAUUCACAGGAAAUAUUCUUUUUCCAUUCCCGUAAGUUUAUGUUAGUCCUUAUGUGUUAGAUGAAUCUCUUAAGGGCAGCGGACAGUUGGUUGGUGAAUUCUAAUCCAUUCUGCAAUGAGCAUUUAGGUCAUUUUCAUUUAACAUUAGUCUUGAUGUAUGAGCCAGCCAGCAGGUCUACCAGGCUCCAGGCUGGUACUGGGGUUGUCUGCCACAGAGUCCUGUGAUGUAAACAAUCUGCAGCUCUCUCAGCCAUGGAUACCAGCUCCAGCACCUGCUCCCAUGCAGGUGGCAGCUUGGGCAUUCACAGUAUUUGGGCUGUCUACGGCAUCCUGCAGCAGCAAUCCACUUCCUUCUGAAGAUCUGUGAGUUAUCUCGGCUUUUCUGGUUUAUUCCUAUAGUAGUUCUGGAGCAAAAGUUCACAAGAUGAGUCUCUACACACUGCCCUAUCUGUAUGAGUGGGAGCUGCAACAUAGUCCUACCUUUUACUCACCAUUUUUCAGCUUCCUCCAGCACAACACUUGUUCUGAGGAAGACCAAAUGGUAUGUCAUGCGGACACUCAGGCAGCCCUGUGAAGAGGUCCAUGUGAUAAGGAACUGAUCCUUCUGACAAUAACCAACAAGGAACUUAGUCAUCCUGCCAACAGCCAGGGAAGGGACCCAUCUUUAAAGCUGAGCUUUUAGCUACAAUUGGGCCUUCAGAUAAAUGCAGCCCUGGCCAACCUUGUGAGACUCCUUAUGCCAGAAUCAUCAAGUUAAGCCACUCUUGGACUUCAAAAACAGCAUGAGAUAAUAAAUGUUUGUUGGUUUUAGUUACUAAUUUUUGGAUACAUUUUUAUAUAGCAAUAGAUAAUGAAAACAGAUAUUGGUGGCUGUAAGUUGGGCGCUCUCACAGCAAAUGAAUAAGAAUGUGGGUGUGGCUUUGAAAACUGGCAGUGGGAAAAUCUUAAAGGAGUUUGAGGAGAUGGUUAGUGAAAGCACAAAGUGCCUUAAGUGGACUGUUAGCAGAUGUCUAGAUUUUGUGGAGUCUUCUAUCAAGGGCUUAAAGGAAAAUUAGGAACAUGUUAUUGAAAACUGGAGGAAGGGGAAUUCUUGUUAUAUAGUGGCAGAAAGUUUAUCAUCACUGUGACCUGUAGUUAUAUUGAAAUAUACCUAAUGAACUGGGUGAACUAGCCAGCCGCCAUCUGGUUUCUUCUUGUUGCUUAUAAUACAGUGAAAAUAAUAAGGAAAAAAUACCCUGUGAAGUCAAAGAGCUAGGAGUUGCUAUUUUGAAGUUUACCAGUCUCACCAGAUUACAAAUGAUGCUAGAAUUAAGCAGUGUUUCCAAGCAAGGAUGAAACACAGGACGCUGUGAGAAAAGCUUGGUCCAAAUUUGAAGCACAGGGUAUGGCUUCCACCUUCAUUAGAAUUAUUUUUGAAGACCUCAGAGAGGUCUGAGGUGGUGCAUAAGAGGACCAUUCAAUCAAAAGGCCAUAUAAACAGCUUAAUGACAUGCUUCACUGAGGCAUAUCUACCAACAGUAGUAUUUCUAAGAUGUUUAUUUCUCAGCCACCUGAGCAGAAGCUUAACAGAAAAGGGGAAGGCCUAUCCUGAGGAGACUCAUGAGCAUAUCUUUAAUCUAAUGGAGUAAACCCUCACUGAGAUUCACAGAAAACUCAGCUUUUAAUGAAAUUGUGUUUUCAGAAAACUUUCAGCUUAGACUGAAAGGGACAGGGAGAAUAUAUAAUAAAAGAGAUCUUAAGUCCUCAAAAUUCUGGCAUGAAACUGGAUGAGAAACUAUGCAACUGCAAACAUGGCUUACUAUUCUUGAAAAAGGAAGAUGAUUCAGAGAAUGGAACCAUGAGCCCAGAGGGUGUAGCCUACCUCAGUUCUAGGUGGGAGUAGAACUGAGCUCUGAUCAAGGAAUUUCCAACGUUUGCCCAGCUGAAUUUGCAGAAUUACUACAGGUGAGUGACCCCUUGCCUCUCCAAUCCCCUCUCUCCUUUUAACAGGGAUUGUCUUAUGCCUUAUACCUAUUAUUGUAUGAUUGGCAUAUUAGUUGGAAGAUAACUUAUCUCUCUAGUUCAUAGGUUUUCAGAUCUAGGGAAACUAUGCUUGAGGAGCUGUACUAAUCAAACCCAAGGAACCUCAAAUGCACCUGAAUUUAGAUGAUAAGAUUCGGAACUUCAGGUUGAUCUUAUAAUGGUAUAAAACAUUUAAGAUCCCUGAGAGGGGAGGAUGUAUUUUGUAUAUAGAAUAAAUACUUUGUGACAAUGGGAUUAACAGUGGGUUUUUUUUUCCAAAUAUGUCCAAAAACUUUUGAUACUGCUCCCUCAAGAAAUACAGCCAAAUUUUCCUCCCCUCAGUCUGGAAUGGACAUAGCAGUUUUCUUCUAAUUAACACAAAAAAAGCAAAAGCAGUGGUAUGUAACUCCAGAGACAAGAGUUACAUAGAGAAGGCACUGUAACUUUUUUUCUCUAUCUUGGGUCACUCACUCUGGGGUAACCCAGCUGCCACACCAUGAGAAUGCUCAAAUGCCCUUACAGAAAUACCCAUAUGAUGAAAAACCGAGACCUACUGCCAAUCACCAGCAAGGAUAUAAGGCAUCCAUAGAAAAAGCUUAGAAAUGGCUCUUCCAGUUCCAGCUUAGCUGUCAGAUGAGUGCUACUCCAGUCAACAGCUUGAUUUGCUACCUCAUGAGAGACCAUAAGCUUAAACCAUCCAGCUAAACUAUUUGUGGACUCUCUAUCCUUAGAAACUGUGUUAGAUAAUAAAUAUUUGUAGUUUUUAACUAUUAAGUUUUGAGGGUAAUUUGUUACACAACAAAAGAUAAAUAAUGAAUUAGGGAUAAAUAAAUUCUGUAUCAUCUGAUAAUUCAGAAAUAACAGAAGUAAUCAAAAAGUAGAGAACUGGAGUGGGGAGAGGAAAAGAAAAAACAUUUCAUUGAUUAUCGUGAAGAUGGGCAUCAGAGAAUAUAAUAAGCUGAGAAAUCAAAUACUAAAAGCCGAGUCAUAAGUAAAUGAUAAACACUUUGAAAGCUAAUACUAUCAGUUCAAACUGAAUGAGAGGAGGGUGAAGAGAGAUGGGAAAAAAAUUCUAAUCAAAUGAAAUGAUUAAUUACUAAAAAAUUUUUUGAGGUGGAGUCUCACUCUGUCGCCCAGGCUGGAAUGCAAUGGCAGGAUCUCAGUUGACUGCAACCUCCGCCUCCCAGGUUCAGGCGAUUCUCCUGCCUCAGCUCCUGAGUAGCUGAGAUUAUAGGUGUACACCAGCAUGCCCAGCUAAUUUUUUGUAUUUUUAGUAGAGACGAGGUUUCACCAUGUUAGUCAGGCUGGCCUUAUGAUCCGCCUGCCUCAGCCUCCCAAAGUGCUGGAAUUACAAGUGUGAGACACCUCGCCCAGCUGAUUAAUUACUAAAAUUGAAAAUGGAUUCAUUGGAACUUAAUUGGAGUGUAAAAUAAGCAGAAGAGCUAAAUUUCUCACUGAUAUGGUCAGAAAAAAUGUUAUGAAGCUCAAUUUUUUUGCCUAGAUAUAAACUAUGGAUUCAUGACCAAAAAAAUACGUUAUUAUUCUCUUCCUCCUGUAAAUGUGACCAAUUCGCUACAGUUAAUGAUCUAAUUAUAAGGCAAUGUCUCCUUUUAACGAGAAGAUAUUUUAGUUAUUUAUGUGCUUUUCUGCUUGGCUAAUAUAAAGAGUAUAUUAAAUUUAUCAGGAUAUUAUAUAGUCACUUUCAUAGAUGAAAGAAAGACUAUAGUUCCCUAGACAGUAGAAAUAAAAUAAUCUAGAAUGAAAUAGCCCAUAUGUAUAUUAAAAUAAAAUUUGUAAAAAUGAAGCUUGCCAGAUAUUAGUAGAAAUGAUCUCAUUAUGAAAUCUUCAGGUUCUCAUUUCUUGGAAAAGCCAUAAUUAUAACCUUAUCU
rnacentral:lncRNA from 1 species